rnacentral:rRNA from 1 species
CCCUUAGAUGUCCUGGGCUGCACGCGCGCUACACUGAUGUGUCCAGUAAGCACCUAACCUCUUCCGAAAGGAACGGGUAACCUUUGCAAAGCACAUCGUGAUGGGGAUAGAUUAUUGCAAUUAUUAGUCUUGAACGAGGAAUUCCUAGUAAGCACAAGUCAUCAGCUUGUGUUGAUUACGUCCCUGCCCUUUGUACACACCGCCCGUCGCUCCUACCGAUUGAAUGGUCCGGUGAAAUCUUCGGAUUGAGACUUUGUUUUCUUCACGGAAAACGCUGUUUUAAAAAGUUGAUUAAGCCUUACCAUUUAGAGGAAGGUGAAGUCGUAACA